rnacentral:tRNA from 1 species
GCGGCUGUGGCGGAAUUGGCAGACGCGCAAGGUUCAGGUCCUUGUGAGCGAUAAGCUCGUGCUGGUUCGACUCCAGUCAGCCGCA